CAUGCACUGGUGGGGUCCCUCAGCCUGGCCUGAAUCCUCUAGCAAAAUCCGGGACCCUUGGGGGGAUGUUGGAGAGCCAGUUUUGGUCCGAUCCCGCAGGCCAGGCUGAGGGACUCCACUGGUGCAUG
rnacentral:pre_miRNA from 1 species